rnacentral:rRNA from 1 species
CUACGGGGCGCAGCAGUGGGGAAUAUUGCACAAUGGGCGCAAGCCUGAUGCAGCCAUGCCGCGUGUAUGAAGAAGGCCUUCGGGUUGUAAAGUACUUUCAGCGGGGAGGAAGGGAGUAAAGUUAAUACCUUUGCUCAUUGACGUUACCCGCAGAAGAAGCACCGGCUAACUCCGUGCCAGCAGCCGCGGUAAUACGGAGGGUGCAAGCGUUAAUCGGAAUUACUGGGCGUAAAGCGCACGCAGGCGGUUUGUUAAGUCAGAUGUGAAAUCCCCGGGCUCAACCUGGGAACUGCAUCUGAUACUGGCAAGCUCGAGUCUCGUAGAGGGGGGUAGAAUUCCAGGUGUAGCGGUGAAAUGCGUAGAGAUCUGGAGGAAUACCGGUGGCGAAGGCGGCCCCCUGGACGAAGACUGACGCUCAGGUGCGAAAGCGUGGGAAGCAAACAGGAUUAGAUACCCCUGUAGUC